rnacentral:tRNA from 1 species
GGUUCUAUAGUGUACUAGUUAUCAUGUCUGCUUGACAUGCAGAAGGUCUUGGGUUUUAGCCCCAGUGGAAGCA